rnacentral:tRNA from 1 species
GGUCUUAUAGUCAUUAAUGAUUUUAAAUUGCAAAUUUAAAGGUAAAUAUAAAUUUUAAGGCUU